rnacentral:rRNA from 1 species
UACGAAGGGGGCUAGCGUUGUUCGGAUUUACUGGGCGUAAAGCGCACGUAGGCGGAUCGUUAAGUCGGGGGUGAAAUCCUGGAGCUCAACUCCAGAACUGCCUUCGAUACUGGCGAUCUUGAGUCCGGAAGAGGUGAGUGGAACUCCUAGUGUAGAGGUGGAAUUCGUAGAUAUUAGGAAGAACACCAAGUGGCGAAGGCGGCUCACUGGUCCGGUACGUGUACUGACUGAGGUGCGGAAACGAGGGGCAAACGG